rnacentral:rRNA from 1 species
GCCCAGCACUGAAUCCUGACGUGUAAACGCACGAUGGAAAUGUAGUGUGUGGGAGGAUCUGUACAAGCCGGCGGGGACCUCGUUCAAGUCCGUCUUGAAAGCGGCCACAGCCCACAGAGGGUGCCAGGCCCGUACGACGAUGGUGGAUCCCGCCGGCAUGGGUCUCUCCCUGGAGUCGAGUUGCUUGAGAGUGCAGCUCUAAGUGGGAGGUAAACUCCUUCUAAGGCUAAAUAUGACCACAAGACCGAUAGCGAACAAGUACCGUGAGGGAAAGUUGAAAAGCACUUUGAAGAGAGAGUUCAAGAGUACGUGAAACCGUUCAGGGGUAAACGAAUGAUAUCUGGAAAAUCGAAGCGAGAGAUUCAAACCGCGGGUCGCGCGUUCAUGCGGCGGUCCCCGAUCAUCUGAGUUCCCCCGCGCGUUGCAGCAAUGCUCGCCGGUGCGGAUACGCAGCGUGCACGGGCGAUCGUCACUGGCGCCGGCGUCGGUCUGCACUUUUCUCGUGGUAGUACGCCGCGACUCGUUGGGUGCUCGGCUAAGGCCCACGCGGGAGCCGGCACUAGUUGCGCGCUUUUAGCGUGCACACGGAGCCGACCGCGAGGUGACCCGGCGAGCUCGCCCGACGGUGUAUAAGCGAUACGACAAGAGUUGGGUGCCUCGCACUCGAUGGCUUUGAUUAGCACGUUCUCGCGUCAGCGGCGCUCCAUUCAGAGCCCAUUCGACCCGUCUUGAAACACGGACCAAGGAGUCUAACAUGUACGCGAGUCAUUGGGAACCACUAAACCUAAAGGCGAAAUGAAAGUGAAUGCCGGCCGCUUCGGCGGUCGGCAGAGGAGUGAUGCCGCGCCUUUGAAUUGAAUUUCUUUACACAAGCCGGCCGCAACUCCGGGGCGUCUCGUUGUCAUCGCGACACAGUAGGCGCACCUAGAGCGUACACGUUGGGACCCGAAAGAUGGUGAACUAUGCCUGGCCAGGUCGAAGUCAGGGGAAACCCUGAUGGAGGACCGUAGCGAUUCUGACGUGCAAAUCGAU